AACGUAGGAGGCGAGCGUUAUCCGGAUUCACUGGGCGUAAAGCGCCAGUAGGUGGUUCUGCAAGUCGAGUGUUAAAGCCCCUGGCUCAACUGGGGGAGGUCAUUCGAAACUGCGGGACUGGAGGACAGCAGAGGAGAGUGGAACUCCCGGUGUAGCGGUGGAAUGCGUAGAGAUCGGGAAGAACACCAGUGGCGAAGGCGACUCUCUGGGCUGUGCCUGACACUGAGAGGCGAAAGCGUGGGGAGCAAAC
rnacentral:rRNA from 1 species